rnacentral:rRNA from 1 species
UGGGGAAUUUUGGACAAUGGGCGCAAGCCUGAUCCAGCCAUGCCGCGUGAGUGAAGAAGGCCUUCGGGUUGUAAAGCUCUUUCGGCGGGGACGAAACGGGUCGUGACAACACCACGGACUAAUGACGGUACCCGCAUAAGAAGCACCGGCUAACUACGUGCCAGCAGCCGCGGUAAUACGUAGGGUGCAGGCGUUAAUCGGAAUUACUGGGCGUAAAGCGUGCGCAGGCGGUUUGUUAAGACAGGUGUGAAAUCCCCGGGCUUAACCUGGGAAUUGCGCUUGUAACUGGCAGGCUAGAGUGUGGCAGAGGGGGGUGGAAUUCCACGUGUAGCAGUGAAAUGCGUAGAUAUGUGGAGGAACACCGAUGGCGAAGGCAGCCCCCUGGGUUAACACUGACGCUCAUGCACGAAAGCGUGGGGAGCAAACAGGAUUAGAUACCCACGUAGUCCCUGAGCGGGCUGGCAAGGCGCAU